rnacentral:rRNA from 1 species
GAUGAACGCUAGCGGCAGGCCUAAUACAUGCAAGUCGGACGGGAUCAGGGAGCUUGCUCCCUGUGAGAGUGGCGCACGGGUGCGUAACACGUAUGUAACCUACCUUUAUCAGGAGGAUAGCCUCUCGAAAGAGAGAUUAACACCGCAUAACAUCACGAUGAAGCAUUUCAAUGUGAUCAAAUAUUUAUAGGAUAAAGAUGGGCAUGCGGGACAUUAGCUAGUUGGCGGGGUAACGGCCCACCAAGGCGACGAUGUCUAGGGGAUCUGAGAGGAUGACCCCCCACACUGGUACUGAGACACGGACCAGACUCCUACGGGAGGCAGCAGUAAGGAAUAUUGGUCAAUGGACGCAAGUCUGAACCAGCCAUGCCGCGUGCAGGAAGACGGCCCUACGGGUUGUAAACUGCUUUUGUACCGGAAUAAACCUUUUCACGUGUGAGAAGCUGAAUGUACGGUAAGAAUAAGGAUCGGCUAACUCCGUGCCAGCAGCCGCGGUAAUAC